rnacentral:rRNA from 1 species
UACGGAGGGUGCGAGCGUUGUUCGGAAUUACUGGGCGUAAAGCGCGUGUAGGCGGCCAUCUAAGUCGGGCGUGAAAUCCCACGGCUCAACCGUGGAAGUGCACUCGAAACUGGAUGGCUAGAGUCCUGGAGAGGAAGGUGGAAUGCUUGGUGUAGAGGUGAAAUUCGUAGAUAUCAAGCGGAACACCGGUGGCGAAGGCGGCCUUCUGGACAGUGACUGACGCUGAGACGCGAAAGCGUGGGGAGCAAACAGG